UACGUAGGGUGCAAGCGCUGUCCGGAAUUAUUGGGCGUAAAGAGCUCGUAGGCGGUUAGUCGCGUCUGCUGUGAAAACUCGGGGCUUAACUCCGGGCCUGCAGUGGGUACGGGCUGACUAGAGUGCGGUAGGGGAGACUGGAAUUCCUGGUGUAGCGGUGAAAUGCGCAGAUAGUCAGGAGGAACACCGAGUGGCGAAGGCAGGUCUCUGGGCAUUAACUGACGCUGGAGGAGCGAAAGCAUGGGGAGCGAACAGG
rnacentral:rRNA from 1 species